rnacentral:rRNA from 1 species
AACGCUGGCGGCGUGCUUAACACAUGCAAGUCGAACGGUGAACACGGAGCUUGCUCUGUGGGAUCAGUGGCGAACGGGUGAGUAACACGUGAGCAACCUGCCCCUGACUCUGGGAUAAGCGCUGGAAACGGCGUCUAAUACUGGAUACGAGUAGCGACCGCAUGGUCAGUUACUGGAAAGAUUUAUUGGUUGGGGAUGGGCUCGCGGCCUAUCAGCUUGUUGGUGAGGUAAUGGCUCACCAAGGCGUCGACGGGUAGCCGGCCUGAGAGGGUGACCGGCCACACUGGGACUGAGACACGGCCCAGACUCCUACGGGAGGCAGCAGUGGGGAAUAUUGCACAAUGGGCGCAAGCCUGAUGCAGCAACGCCGCGUGAGGGAUGACGGCCUUCGGGUUGUAAACCUCUUUUAGCAGGGAAGAAGCGAAAGUGACGGUACCUGCAGAAAAAGCGCCGGCUAACUACGUGCCAGCAGCCGCGGUAAUACGUAGGGCGCAAGCGUUAUCCGGAAUUAUUGGGCGUAAAGAGCUCGUAGGCGGUUUGUCGCGUCUGCUGUGAAAUCCGGAGGCUCAACCUCCGGCCUGCAGUGGGUACGGGCAGACUAGAGUGCGGUAGGGGAGAUUGGAAUUCCUGGUGUAGCGGUGGAAUGCGCAGAUAUCAGGAGGAACACCGAUGGCGAAGGCAGAUCUCUGGGCCGUUACUGACGCUGAGGAGCGAAAGGGUGGGGAGCAAACAGGCUUAGAUACCCUGGUAGUCCACCCCGUAAACGUUGGGAACUAGUUGUGGGGUCCAUUCCACGGAUUCCGUGACGCAGCUAACGCAUUAAGUUCCCCGCCUGGGGAGUACGGCCGCAAGGCUAAAACUC